UUUUUUUUUUUACUAAAUCGUUUUCUCUUCUCUGUUUUGAGGUUAAUUAAAAAAAAUUCAGUUAAUAUAAAUAGGAUGAUCUGAUCUCCUGGCCAUCUUUUGAACAAGAUACAACACGACCCUUCGAAUAGUUUAUGUCCUUUGAUUAGAUUCUGAUGGGCUGCCUGACAUCCGCCGUCGAAAUUCCUGAACGAGGACACCAAUCUGACCGCGAAAACGGCCGAUACAUAUCUAAAUGUGAUGGUUCCCCCAACUACCGCCACCGCCGCCGUAGCCCUAGCUACGAAGCCUAUGAACGCGACCACCAGAGCCGCAACGUUAACCAACGCCGUAACCGUUUCGGUUCAUCUGAAUACAGGAACCCUAGAAGCCCUGUUGAAAUUCCUGGAAGAAGACAGCGUUUUGACGGCGAAAACGGUCGCUACGCAUCCGAAUCCGAUGAUUCUACCGAAUACCGCCGCAGCCGUCGCCGCAGUCCUAGUUACGAUAUCUACGACCGCGACCAACCUCGCAACCGCCACCGUUCUGAAUCACCUGAAGACCGAAACCCUGGAAGACGGAGCGCCGCCCAUGACCGAACCCUAAACUCUCUGCCCAAGAAAUUCGGCAAGAAUCGUAGCUACCUGGACCGAGAUUAUCAGAACGGAAAACAUUUAGAGUCCGAAUCGGACGAGGAGUUAAAAGGAUUGAACUUUGAAGAGUAUAGGAGGCUGAAGAGGCAGAAGAUGAGGAAGGCAUUGAGAUUCUGUAUUUGGGAGAAUACACCGAGUCCACCGAGGAAUGAAGACAAUGAUUUGGAGGAUAAAGCUGAUGAAAUUUCGGAGAAGUAUGGCGAGGAUAAUGGCUAUGAGAAGAGCGAUUCCAAUAAAGUGAGGAAGAGCAAUAAGAGAGUCAAAUCCAAGUCUGAGUCUGAAAAAUCUGGAAGUAGCGAGUCAGAGAGUGAGCCAGAAUCUGAAUCGGAUGAUUCAAGGUCUGAGAAGAGGAAGAAGGGGUCGAGUUCUAAGCGUAAAAGUAGUAAAAGCAAACGUCGAAGUAGGAAAACAUCGUCCUACAGUGAUAGCGAAUCGGAUGAGAGUGAGAGCAAAUCCGAUGAUGAGGAAGAUAGAAAGAGGAGAAGGAAGUCGAGGAGAAAGCAGAGUAGGCGAAAUAGGAAUAGCAAGAAAAGCAGUAGAGGAAAAAGAAGCAGGAAGAAGAGUAGGUAUAGUUCUGAUGAGAGUGGGAGUGGUGAAAGCGAAACUGACAUAUCUGAUAUGAGCAAAUCUUCUGAUGAUCGUGUCAAGUCAAAGAAGCGGAAAAGCUCUUCAAAUUCAAGGUCUAGGAGGAGUAAGAAAAGGAGAGGCUCAGGAACUGAUAGUCAAGGUUCGUAUUCUGAUAAGAGCUCAGAUUCUGGGGUUGAUGCCAAGAGUAAAUCAAAGUUAGAUGAGGCUAAGAUGGUUGAAAUUAAUGCUGCUGAGGCUCUUAUGUUUAAAGAAAUGAUAGAGGCACAGAAGAAACCUGCUUUGGAUAAUGAGCCAAUGGUUGGCCCAGCACCAUUGCCAAGAGCUGAGGGACAUAUAAGUUAUGGUGGUGCUCUAAGGCCUGGUGAAGGUGAUGCCAUUGCGCAGUAUGUCCAACAAGGGAAGCGUAUCCCACGAAGAGGUGAAGUGGGUCUUUCUGCUGAGGAGAUUCAAAAGUUUGAGGGCCUUGGGUUUGUGAUGAGUGGUAGUAGACAUCAGAGAAUGAAUGCCAUUCGUAUUAGGAAAGAAAACCAGGUUUACAGUGCUGAGGACAAGAGGGCAUUGGCAAUGUUUAACUAUGAAGAGAAAGCAAAACGCGAGCACAAGGUUAUGGCUGAUUUGCAACGACUGGUGCAGCGCCAUAUUGGCCAGGAUGUUGGUCCUACUCACAACCCUUUUGCUGGAAAAGAUGGGGCUGAAGCCUGAAUCUCAUGUGGGAUUAUCAGAUCAAACCUUCUCUACAUCAGUAGUGAUUUUUAAGUACAUACCCCCAAUUAGGCAAUCAAGUAAACUACCUUUUCCAGUAGGAGCAUUGGCCUCUUGCUUUGGAGUUUGAUUUGAAAUUAGAAUAACAAUUGAGACGAUUUACUAUUGAUGCUAUUCAAGGACCGUUGAUUCCCAGAGUAAAGUACAGUGCCGAAAGUAUUGGGUUGGGCAGGGAGUUAAAACAGCGAGGACAUGGCCCAUUAGAGAUGGGGCCUAUUCUUAAUGGGAAAAAAACGUGAAAGAGAUAAACAAAUUUUUAAAUUUUAUUUAAAAUAAAAUAUAUUUUUGAACUUUUAUUUGGAUGAAAUGAAAGUUAUGAGCUUUUAUUUUAUUGCAAUUAAAGUCCUGAUACUAUAAAAACUCUGUCAAGAGAUGGGCGGGAACCCAGCAGUGUAAAUUCGAGCAAUCCAACAGUUGAUCAAGAAGAUUAAUUCAAGGAAAAUGAUCGAUGCUAGUUUCCGGGUAUCUGAUAAGGGUUGGAAAGCUUGGAGAAAGACGGAUGGGAAGUAAAAUGGAACCAGAAAAUGAUAAAUGUGAAAAUUUACAUAUACAGGACUGUAAAACAGACAAUAACAGCUUUCACUUGUUUGAGAAUGACCUGACCGCAGUAUCUCAGAAUCUCCUGGACUUUGUUAGGAAUUCUUGGUAUUCGUUGCUUAAAUUAGUGUUGUUGGGUCUAUAUCUGGGAUGUUCAAAUCAAGUAUUUAAUUUUUUUUUGGUUAAACAGAUUAUGGGUUGUUAAUACUUAAUACCCUGUUUGUGGAUUGACACCGCCUAGCCUUUUGUGGUUAAAAUGUGAGGACAAAUCCAAUGCCAAAUGGCCAAUGAGUAUCUAGUUCAAACACUGCUUAAUUAUUCUUGAAGGCAA